CAGCAGCCGCGGGAACACGUAGGUGGCGAGCGUUGUCCGGAAUUAUUGGGCGUAAAGGGCUCGCAGGCGGUUUCUUAAGUCUGAUGUGAAAGCCCCCGGCUCAACCGGGGAGGGUCAUUGGAAACUGGGAAACUUGAGUGCAGAAGAGGAGAGUGGGAUUCCACGUGUAGCGGUGAAAUGCGUAGAGAUGUGGAGGAACACCAGUGGCGAAGGCGACUCUCUGGUCUGUAGCUGACGCUGAGGAGCGAAAGCGUGGGGAGCGAACAGGAUUAGAGACCCCUGUAGUCCCUGUCUCUUAUAU
rnacentral:rRNA from 1 species